ensembl:lncRNA
GUGCUAGCGUAUCUAGUGUAUGUGUAUCUGUGGUCGGCACGUCUGGUAGCAUCUCUGGCUGCUGUUGACCUUGUUUUUGGAGUAAAACACGGUGGAAGCUGAAUUAGUGAGGAUGACUCCUGCUCCUGUCAUCUCUAAGCUCCUCACACAUCUUUACCUGCACAUGAGGAAAAUCACUCCUGUAGAAUGCAGAUGCACAAUGAGGGACGUCUACAGAGACUGAGAAAGAGUCUCACCACAUCCUGACAUGAGGAAAAAGACUUUAUUGAAGACUACAAUGAGAAAAACUAUCAGACAGCAGACGGCUGCAUUCAAGGCUACAGGAGGAGCCCUACGAGGACGAGCCGGUCCACCUGAUGGCGGCCAGUCGCUGCGGUUCAAAGCCAACACCGACUACAUGGACUUCUACUGGACCACACGGAGGCCUUCAAACCGGACCAACAAGUUCAGCGACUCCCCGACUCGUGGGUCUGAGGACGCCGCCGAGCCUCGGUCCAGCCGGCCUCCUGUCUGUGGGUGUUUGAGUGCUGAGAGGUUUGUGGAUGCAUGUGAACAUGUCUGUGUUGAAACAGCAACUUUUCACUCAGUAACGCCGGGAAAAACCAAGAGCUCCUUUAUUUGUGACUUCCACUAAAAAAACUGAAGAAAAUAAGUUUGCCAGGGUUCUGACUGAUAACAGAUUAUUAAAUAAUGAAAAUAAUCAUUUAAAUAUUCCUUUAAACAAUCCUUUUAGGUCUACAUUUCCUUUAUACUGACUUCUUGGUAUAUGUACAAGUAUUUUGGGUGGAAUAUACCAUUAAGCCUGAUGUUCAAGGGUUCUUCUGGG